GGGAACGUACCCUUCGGUUCGGAAUAACUCAGGGAAACUUGAGCUAAUACCGGAUACGCCCUUUUGGGGAAAGGUUUACUGCCGAAGGAUCGGCCCGCGUCUGAUUAGCUUGUUGGUGGGGUAACGGCCUACCAAGGCGACGAUCAGUAGCUGGUCUGAGAGGAUGAUCAGCCACACUGGGACUGAGACACGGCCCAGACUCCUACGGGAGGCAGCAGUGGGGAAUAUUGGACAAUGGGCGCAAGCCUGAUCCAGCCAUGCCGCGUGAGUGAUGAAGGCCUUAGGGUUGUAAAGCUCUUUUGUCCGGGACGAUAAUGACGGUACCGGAAGAAUAAGCCCCGGCUAACUUCGUGCCAGCAGCCGCGGUAAUACGAAGGGGGCUAGCGUUGCUCGGAAUCACUGGGCGUAAAGGGCGCGUAGGCGGCCGAUUAAGUCGGGGGUGAAAGCCUGUGGCUCAACCACAGAAUUGCCUUCGAUACUGAUUGGCUUGAGACCGGAAGAGGACAGCGGAACUGCGAGU
rnacentral:rRNA from 1 species